rnacentral:rRNA from 1 species
GACGAACGCUGGCGGCGUGCUUAACACAUGCCAGUCGAACGGAAAGGCCUAGCUUGCUGGGUACUCGAGUGGCGAACGGGUGAGUAACACGUGGGUGAUCUGCCCCUGGCUUUGGGAUAAGCCUGGGAAACUGGGUCUAAUACCGGAUAUUCAUUUUUCCUCGCAUGGGGAUUUGUGGAAAGCUUUUGCGGUUGGGGAUGGGCCCGCGGCCUAUCAGCUUGUUGGUGGGGUAAUGGCCUACCAAGGCGACGACGGGUAGCCGACCUGAGAGGGUGAUCGGCCACACUGGGACUGAGACACGGCCCAGACUCCUACGGGAGGCAGCAGUGGGGAAUAUUGCACAAUGGGCGCAAGCCUGAUGCAGCGACGCCGCGUGAGGGAUGACGGCCUUCGGGUUGUAAACCUCUUUCAGCUCCGACGAAGCGCAAGUGACGGUAGGAGCAGAAGAAGCACCGGCCAACUACGUG